rnacentral:rRNA from 1 species
UAUGGGAUGAGCUUGCGUCCGAUUAGCUAGUUGGCGGGGCAACGGCCCACCAAGGUGACGAUCGGUAGCCGGCCUGAGAGGGUGAUCGGCCACAUUGGGACUGAGAUACGGCCCAGACUCCUACGGGAGGCAGCAGUAGGGAAUAUUGCACAAUGGGGGAAACCCUGAUGCAGCAACGCCACGUGUGGGAAGAAGCAUUUCGGUGUGUAAACCACUGUCGUGAGGGAAUAAGGCAUUUUUUCGGAGAUGUUGAAUGUACCUCGAGAGGAAGCACCGGCAAACUUCGUGCCAGCAGCCGCGGUAAUACGAGGGGUGCAAGCGUUGUUCGGAAUCACUGGGCGUAAAGGGAGCGCAGGCGGAAGCUCAAGCGGAUUGUACAACACCGGGGCCCAACCCCGGACCUGCAGUCCGAACUGGGUUUCUUGGAUAGUUCAGGGGCAGGC